rnacentral:rRNA from 1 species
UACGUAGGGCGCAAGCGUUAUCCGGAAUUAUUGGGCGUAAAGAGCUCGUAGGCGGUUUGUCGCGUCUGCCGUGAAAGUCCGGGGCUCAACUCCGGAUCUGCGGUGGGUACGGGCAGACUAGAGUGAUGUAGGGGAGACUGGAAUUCCUGGUGUAGCGGUGAAAUGCGCAGAUAUCAGGAGGAACACCGGUGGCGAAGGCGGGUCUCUGGGCCGAUACUGACGCUGAGGAGCGAAAGCUGGGGGAGCAAACAGG